rnacentral:rRNA from 1 species
UACGUAGGGUGCAAGCGUUAUCCGGAAUUAUUGGGCGUAAAGAGCUCGUAGGCGGUUUGUCGCGUCUGCUGUGAAAACUGGAGGCUCAACCUCCAGCCUGCAGUGGGUACGGGCAGACUAGAGUGCGGUAGGGGAGAUUGGAAUUCCUGGUGUAGCGGUGGAAUGCGCAGAUAUCAGGAGGAACACCGAUGGCGAAGGCAGAUCUCUGGGCCGUAACUGACGCUGAGGCGCGAAAGCGUGGGGAGCAAACAGG